AAAGAACAGCAUAUAGAAUGAGAAGAAAAGAUGACACUUAAAAAUUCUAUAAAAUGUACCAUUUAAUGACUUUUUUUUUGCAUUGCUGGAGAUUGAUCCCAGGGUCAUGCACAAGCCAAACAAGGAAUCUACCACUGAGCCACAACAAGCCCCACUUAAUGACUUUGACAGAGGAGAGAGGACAGAGAAAAGUAGAGAAGUAGCAAGACAACUAGACAAGGGCUUAUCGUGCAAACCUGAGGUGUGAAGCAGGGAGAUCACACAUGUCAAAACUCCUGAAUCCCUGAGCAACCCUGGAAGAAGUACAUGAGCCAUGCUGCAUAGGCCAGGGGAAGACACAUGAAUGGGCAUCUUGUUUGUCAAAUACUUGACUUCCUGUAUUUCAUGGAUGACAGUUUGCUUUUCUUCAGAGCCAAUGAUUACUGUUAACUUGACCUUGGGAAUUUGCAAGAAAAUAAAGAUGCAUUUUUUUAUAGAAAAACUA